AGGAUAAUAGUUUAAUUAAAACACUUAACUUGCAAUUAAGAAAUAUUGUAGUCAUAUUAUCUU
rnacentral:tRNA from 1 species